rnacentral:rRNA from 1 species
AGAGUUUGAUCCUGGCUCAGGAUGAACGCUGGCGGCGUGCCUAACACAUGCAAGUCGAACGAAGCUUGACGGAUGAUUUCUUCGGAAUGAAACCAGAUAUGACUUAGUGGCGGACGGGUGAGUAACACGUGAGCAACCUGCCUUUCAGAGGGGGAUAACGGCUGGAAACGGUCGCUAAUACCGCAUGAUGUGUUCGGAUGGCAUCAUCUGAACAUCAAAGAUUUAUCGCUGAAAGAUGGGCUCGCGUCUGAUUAGAUAGUUGGUGGGGUAACGGCCUACCAAGUCGACGAUCAGUAGCCGGACUGAGAGGUUGAACGGCCACAUUGGGACUGAGAUACGGCCCAGACUCCUACGGGAGGCAGCAGUGGGGAAUAUUGGGCAAUGGGCGCAAGCCUGACCCAGCAACGCCGCGUGAAGGAAGAAGGCUUUCGGGUUGUAAACUUCUUUUAAGUGGGAAGAGCAGAAGACGGUACCUCUUGAAUAAGCCACGGCUAACUACGUGCCAGCAGCCGCGGUAAUACGUAGGUGGCGAGCGUUAUCCGGAAUGAUUGGGCGUAAAGGGUGCGUAGGUGGCAGAUCAAGUCUGGAGUAAAAGGUAUGGGCUCAACCCGUACUGGCUCUGGAAACUGAUCAGCUAGAGAACAGAAGAGGACGGCGGAACUCCAUGUGUAGCGGUAAAAUGCGUAGAUAUAUGGAAGAACACCGGUGGCGAAGGCGGCCGUCUGGUCUGGAUUCUGACACUGAAGCACGAAAGCGUGGGGAGCAAAUAGGAUUAGAUACCCUAGUAGUCCACGCCGUAAACGAUGAGAACUAGGUGUUGGGGGAAUAACUCAGUGCCGCAGUUAACGCAGUAAGUUCUCCGCCUGGGGAGUAUGCACGCAAGUGUGAAACUCAAAGGAAUUGACGGGGGCCCGCACAAGCGGUGGAGUAUGUGGUUUAAUUCGAAGCAACGCGAAGAACCUUACCAGGCCUUGACAUCCCUUGCAGAGGUAUAGAGAUAUAUCCGAGGUUAUCAAGGAGACAGGUGGUGCAUGGUUGUCGUCAGCUCGUGUCGUGAGAUGUUGGGUUAAGU